UACGGAUGGUGCGAGCGUUGUCCGGAAUCAUUGGGCGUAAAGGGCGCGUAGGUGGCCUGCUAAGCGUGCGGUGAAAGCUCGGGGCUCAACCCCGAGUCGGCCGUGCGAACUGGUGGGCUUGAGCACUGUAGAGGCAGGCGGAAUUCCGGGUGUAGCGGUGGAAUGCGUAGAGAUCCGGAAGAACACCGGUGGCGAAGGCGGCCUGCUGGGCAGUAGCUGACACUGAGGCGCGACAGCGUGGGGAGCAAACAGG
rnacentral:rRNA from 1 species